UAGGGAAUCUUCGGCAAUGGACGGAAGUCUGACCGAGCAACGCCGCGUGAGUGAAGAAGGUUUUCGGAUCGUAAAGCUCUGUUGUAAGAGAAGAACGAGUGUGAGAGUGGAAAGUUCACACUGUGACGGUAUCUUACCAGAAAGGGACGGCUAACUACGUGCCAGCAGCCGCGGUAAUACGUAGGUCCCGAGCGUUGUCCGGAUUUAUUGGGCGUAAAGCGAGCGCAGGCGGUUAGAUAAGUCUGAAGUUAAAGGCUGUGGCUUAACCAUAGUACGCUUUGGAAACUGUUUAACUUGAGUGCAAGAGGGGAGAGUGGAAUUCCAUGUGUAGCGGUGAAAUGCGUAGAUAUAUGGAGGAACACCGGUGGCGAAAGCGGCUCUCUGGCUUGUAACUGACGCUGAGGCUCGAAAGCGUGGGGAGCAAACAGGAUUAGAUACCCUGGUAGUCCACGCCGUAAACGAUGAGUGCUAGGUGUUAGACCCUUUCCGGGGUUUAGUGCCGUAGCUAACGCAUUAAGCACUCCGCCUGGGGAGUACGACACGCAAGGUUG
rnacentral:rRNA from 1 species